rnacentral:rRNA from 1 species
AUUGAACGCUGGCGGCAUGCUUUACACAUGCAAGUCGAACGGCAGCGCGGGCUUCGGCCUGGCGGCGAGUGGCGAACGGGUGAGUAAUACAUCGGAACGUGCCCAGGAGCGGGGGAUAGCGCGGCGAAAGCCGGAUUAAUACCGCAUACGACCUGAGGGUGAAAGCGGGGGAUCUUCGGACCUCGCGCUAUUGGAGCGGCCGAUGGCAGAUUAGCUAGUUGGUGGGGUAAAGGCCUACCAAGGCGACGAUCUGUAGCUGGUCUGAGAGGACGACCAGCCACACUGGGACUGAGACACGGCCCAGACUCCUACGGGAGGCAGCAGUGGGGAAUUUUGGACAAUGGGCGAAAGCCUGAUCCAGCAAUGCCGCGUGUGUGAUGAAGGCCUUCGGGUUGUAAAGCACUUUUGGCGGGAACGAAAAGGACUGUGCCAAUACCACGGUUCGAUGACGGUACCCGCAGAAUAAGCACCGGCUAACUACGUG